AACGAACGCUGGCGGCAUGCCUAACACAUGCAAGUCGAACGAGACCUUCGGGUCUAGUGGCGCACGGGUGCGUAACGCGUGGGAACCUGCCCUUAGGUUCGGAAUAACUCCCCGAAGGGGGUGCUAAUACCGGAUAAUGUCUUCGGACCAAAGAUUUAUCGCCUUUGGAUGGGCCCGCGUUGGAUUAGCUAGUUGGUAGGGUAAAAGCCUACCAAGGCGACGAUCCAUAGCUGGUCUGAGAGGAUGAUAAGCCACACUGGGACUGAGACACGGCCCAGACUGCUACGGGAGGCAGCAGUGGGGAAUAUUGGACAAUGGGCGAAAGCCUGAUACAGCAAUGCCGGGUGAGUGAUGAAGGGCUUAGGGUUGUAAAGCUCUUUUACACGGGAUGAUAAUGACAGUAACGGGAGAAUAAGCACCGGCUAACUCCGUG
rnacentral:rRNA from 1 species